GGCGCCAUAGCUGAGCGGUAAAGCAUUUGGCUUUCGAACCAGGGUACCGGGUUCGAAUCCUGGUUAUGACU
rnacentral:tRNA from 1 species